UCAGAGCCACUGACACGCAGCACAAUGAUGAUGUCACUGAUUCUACUGCUGUGUACGCUGGGGCUCCUUGUUCAGGAAUCAUCAGCAGAUAUAAUUCUCACCCAGUCUCCUAAAUCUCAGUCUGUUCGCCCAGGAGAGUCUGUCUCUAUCAGCUGUACAGCCAGUUCAGGUACUAGUAAUGCGCUUAGCUGGUACCUGCAGAAACCUGGAGAAGUUCCUAAACUCCUCGUUCAUAGUGCCACAACCCGUCAUUCUGGGAUUCCAGGUCGUUUCAGUGGGAGUGGAUCUGGUAGUUCAUAUACUCAUUACACUCUGACCAUCAGUGGAGUCCAGGCUGAAGAUGCAGGAGAUUACUACUGUCAGCAGGGUGCCAGUUAUCCGUUCACACAGUGUUAGAACGUCGUACAAAAACCCCCCUCAGCUAAAGAGGAACUGUUCUGACUAAACAGCUGCAAAGCUACAGAUUCUCCCGUAUUCUGAAGUAUUCUAAACACCAAUUCAUCACAAUAUGACAAUACAUUAAUGUAAUUGGUUAAACGUGUCUAUGGAUUAUGAUACUGAACAUAUCUCUCAAUAUAUUCUGCAAAAAUACAUCUUUGUUUAACACACUGGGACCACUUAGUAUACAGAACUGUAGAUAAUGAUUUAUUUUGAAGGACAUGUUGAACAAAAUUCAGAAUAGGUUUAGAUUUUUUUUCACGCUUUGAUUUAUCUUGAUAUUGUAAGAAGCAGUCAUUUCAUUACGCAAUAGCAUGAAUGUGGAUCCUGUCCGAACCCAACUAUUCAUGCCCUGCUCAACUUCUAUACCCCUCCAACCUUGAAAGAGUGAAUACAGUCAUAUUGAUUCCAA